rnacentral:rRNA from 1 species
UACAGAGGUGGCAAGCGUUGUUCGGAAUUACUGGGCGUAAAGGGCGCGUAGGCGGUCCUGUAAGUCUUGUGUGAAAUCCCUCGGCUUAACUGAGGAACUGCACGAGAUACUGCGAGACUUGAGUUCGGGAGAGGAAAGCGGAAUUCCGGGUGUAGCGGUGAAAUGCGUAGAUAUCCGGAAGAACACCCGUGGCGAAGGCGAAUCUCUGGACAGUUACUGACACUGAGGCACGAAGGCCAGGGGAGCAAACGGG